rnacentral:rRNA from 1 species
UACGAAGGGUGCAAGCGUUAAUCGGAAUUACUGGGCGUAAAGCGCGCGUAGGUGGUUCAGUAAGUUGAAUGUGAAAGCCCCGGGCUCAACCUGGGAACUGCAUCCAAAACUGGCAAGCUAGAGUAUGGCAGAGGGUGGUGGAAUUUCCUGUGUAGCGGUGAAAUGCGUAGAUAUAGGAAGGAACACCAGUGGCGAAGGCGACCACCUGGGCUAAUACUGACACUGAGGUGCGAAAGCGUGGGGAGCAAACAGG